UACGUAGGGAGCAAGCGUUGUCCGGAAUCAUUGGGCGUAAAGCGUGCGUAGGCGGCCCGGUAAGUCCGUUGUGAAAGUCAAAGGCUCAACCUUUGAAUGCCGAUGGAUACUGCCGGGCUCGAGUCCGGAAGAGGCGAGUGGAAUUCCUGGUGUAGCGGUGAAAUGCGCAGAUAUCAGGAGGAACACCGAUGGCGAAGGCAGGUCUCUGGGCCACUACUGACGCUGAGAAGCGAAAGCAUGGGGAGCGAACAGG
rnacentral:rRNA from 1 species